AACGAACGCUGGCGGCAUGCCUAACACAUGCAAGUCGAACGAGACCUUCGGGUCUAGUGGCGCACGGGUGCGUAACGCGUGGGAACCUGCCCUUAGGUUCGGAAUAACUCCCCGAAAGGGGUGCUAAUACCGGCUAAUGUCUUCGGACCAAAGAUUUAUCGCCUUUGGAUGGGCCCGCGUUGGAUUAGCUAGUUGGUAGGGUAAAAGCCUACCAAGGCGACGAUCCAUAGCUGGUCUGAGAGGAUGAUCAGCCACACUGGGACUGAGACACGGCCCAGACUCCUACGGGAGGCAGCAGUGGGGAAUAUUGGACAGCGGGCGAAAGCCUGAUCCAGCAAUGCCGCGUGAGUGAUGAAGGCCUUAGGGUUGUAAAGCUCUUUUACCCGGGUUGAUAAUGACAGUACCGGGAGAAUAAGCUCCGGCUAACUCCGUG
rnacentral:rRNA from 1 species